rnacentral:rRNA from 1 species
AUUGAACGCUGGCGGCAGGCCUAACACAUGCAAGUCGAGCGGAUGAAGCGAGCUUGCUCCUGGAUUCAGCGGCGGACGGGUGAGUAAUGCCUAGGAAUCUGCCUGGUCGUGGGGGAUCACGUCCGGAAACGGGCGCUAAUACCGCAUACGUCCUGUGGGAGAAAGUGGGGGAUCUUCGGACCUCACGCUAUCAGAUGAGCCUAGGUCGGAUUAGCUAGUUGGUGGGGUAAAGGCUUACCAAGGCGACGAGCCGUAACUGGUCUGAGAGGAUGGUCAGUCACACUGGAACUGGGACACGGUCCAGACUCCUACGGGGGGCAGCAGUGGAGAAUAAUGGACGAUAGGCGAAGGCCUGAUCCAGCCAUGCCGCGUGUGAAGAAGGUCUUCGGAUUGUAAAGCAAUUUAAGUUGGGAGGAAGGGCAGUAAGUUAAUACCUUGCUGUUUUGACGUUACCAACAGAAGAAGCACCGGCUAACUUCGUG